GAUGAACGCUGGCGGCGUGCUUAACACAUGCAAGUCGAACGGUGAAGGCGGAGCUUGCUCUGCUGGAUCAGUGGCGAACGGGUGAGUAACACGUGAGCAAUCUGCCCCUGACUCUGGGAUAAGCGCUGGAAACGGCGUCUAAUACUGGAUACGAGCUGCGAAGGCAUCUUCAGCAGCUGGAAAGAAUUUCGGUCAGGGAUGAGCUCGCGGCCUAUCAGCUUGUUGGUGAGGUAAUGGCUCACCAAGGCGUCGACGGGUAGCCGGCCUGAGAGGGUGACCGGCCACACUGGGACUGAGACACGGCCCAGACUCCUACGGGAGGCAGCAGUGGGGAAUAUUGCACAAUGGGCGAAAGCCUGAUGCAGCAACGCCGCGUGAGGGACGACGGCCUUCGGGUUGUAAACCUCUUUUAGCAGGGAAGAAGCGAAAGUGACGGUUCCUGCAGAAAAAGCGCCGGCUAACUACGUG
rnacentral:rRNA from 1 species